rnacentral:rRNA from 1 species
AGCUUCAGUAGCGUAUAUUAAAGUUGUUGCAGUUAAAAAGCUCGUAGUCGCAUUUCUGGCGAGAGGAUCCGGUCCGACCUUUUGGUGGGUUCUUGGGUCUCUUUCGCCAUCCUUGAGUGGUCCGUUCUGGCAUUAGGUUGUCGGAGCGUCAGCCGCUCAUCGUUUACUGUGAGAAAAUUAGAGUGUUCAAAGCAGGCUUAUGCCGUUGAAUAUAUUAGCAUGGAAUAAUAAGAUAGGACCUCGGUACUAUUUUGUUGGUUUGCGCUCCAAGGUAAUGAUUAACAGGGACAGUUGGGGGUAUUUGUAUUUCGUUGUCAGAGGUGAAAUUCUUAGAUUUACGAAAGACAAACUACUGCGAAAGCAUUUACCAAGGAUGUUUUCA